rnacentral:misc_RNA from 1 species
GUAUUGUAUUGCGUUAAACGCGGUGCGCAUUCCAUAAGACUUUGUUACAGUGUGUGUGUAAAUACAUAGAACCACAGCAGGGGGGACGGAGCCCCACAGGCCAUAGAACUACAGAGGGUGCACAGGUGUGAGUGGAUGUGUAAACAGAGCGUGCACAUGCCCCCAUACAGGGACCAGCAACAACUCUUGUUAACAAUUCGGUAAUGAUCCUUCCGCAGGUUCACCUACGGAAA